UGUGAUGGGAAAUACGAAAAGGGUGUAAAUAGAAAAGAACAAUGAAAAGGAGGGAGAUAAAGAGAGAUUCAAUGCGGGUGACAGGGAAAGAGGAAAGGUAAUGAACAAGAGAGAAGGUUAAAGAGGAAGACUGUGAUGGGAAAUACGAAGAGAAAGAGAUGCAUGAAAAUAAACCGAUAAAAUGGAGGGAGAUGAGAAAAUGCGAAACAAGUGAAUGAAAUAGAUGAAAGAGAAGGAAUAACGGAAAGGAUUAUAUAAAGGCGAAGCUAACAGGAAAUACGAAGAAAAAAAGAAUUACUGGAAAAGAGAAAGAGAUGCAUGAAAAUAAACCGAUAAAAUGGAGGGAGAUGAGAAAAUGCGAAACAAGUGAAUGAAAUAGAUGAAAGAGAAAAGGAAUAACGGGAAAGAUUAUUUAAAGUCGAGGCUAACGGGAAAUGCGGAGACAAAAAAGACAUAAAAAAACAUUGAAAGAACAGAUGAAUUACUGGAUAAGAGAAAAUAGGAGGAGAAUCAGAAAAGGUUAAAAGGAGAAAAAGAUAGUUGUGGGAAAUCCGAAGAAAAAAAGACAAAAAAAAAACAUUGAAAGAACAGAUGAAUUACUGGAUAAGAGAAAUAGGAGGAGAAUCAGGAAAGGUUAGGAGGAGAAAAAGAUAGUUGUUGGAAAGCCGAAGAAAAAAAGACAAAAAAAAAACAUUGAAAGAACAGAUGAAUUACUGGAUAAGAGAAAAUAGGAGGAGAAUCAGGAAAGGUUAGGAGGAGAAAAAGAUAGUUGUGGGAAAUCCGAAGAAAAUAAAAGUAUAUGAAAUGGAGCGAUGAAGAAAAGGAAGGAGAUGAAAAAGAAGCAGUAUAAGAGACGGGAAGAAAGAAAAUAUUAUGAGUUACGGGAAACGCUGAAGGAGGAAGAAAAGCUAACGAGAAAUAAGAAGAAAAAUGGAGCGAUGACGACGAGGAGGAAGAGGAGGAAGAGGAGGAGGAGGAGGAGGAGGAGGGAAGUAGGAAAGGAAGGACGAUGAGCUACAGGAAAAGAUAAAAUGGAAAAUGGACGUAAGAGACAAUGGUGAAGGAGGAAGCAGAGACACAAGAGGAAGAGGAAGAAGACGAGGGGGGAGAGAGAGAGAGAGAGAGAGAGAGAGAGAGAGAGAGAGAGAGAGAGAGAGAGAGAGAGAGAAGAGUAGUGUAGUGGACGAAGGAAGGAAGAAGAGAACGAGGAAGAACAGGAAGUAGACGAGAUAAAGAAAGACGAUAGAGAGAGAUUUCCGCUGGACUCAGGAUACAAAGAAGAAAAAGGAGGUGAAGAAAAGGAUGAUAAAGAAAAAAUGAAAAAAAACAACGACGACAAGACAAAAAAGGACUUCCAGAGUGUGUACGUUUUACCGAAGAGAAAAAUAAGAAAGAAAAAUACGCGUAAUUAAAAAGAAGGUGAAAUUUGAACCAAAGGGAAAAAAAAGAUUAAAAAAACACGUCAACGACAGGACAAAAAAGGACUUCCAGAGUAUGUACGUUUUAGCGAAGAGAGAAAAAAAGAAAGAAAAAUACGAGAAAUUAAAAAAAGAAAGGUGAAAUUUGAACCAAAGGGAAAAAAAAAGAUUAAAAAAACACGUCAACGACAGGACAAAAAAUGACUUCCAGAGUAUGUACGUUUUAGCGAAGAGAAAAAAGAAAGUAAAAUACGAGAAAUAAGAAAACAAAAACAACAACAACACAUCAACAAAACAAAAAAGGACUUCCAGAGUAUGUACGUUUUAGCGAAGAGAGAAAAAAGAAAGAAAAAUACUCGAAAUAAAAAAGAAGAAAGGUGAAAAGUGAACCAAAGGAAAGAAUAUGAAUGACAAAACGAGGCUUUCAAGUGUUGCGAAAAAAGAAAAAGAGAAAAAAUGAAAACACUCCGGCUCGGCGCAAAAGCAAAGAAGGAAAAAGUAAAAAAAAAAAAAAAAAACGCUAAAAAGAGGAAAGGAAAAGAAGAGGAGAGGAAAGAGGGGGAAAAAGAGAAUAUUUCCAGAGGGCAAAAAGCUUUCCUCCUCUCCUUGCAAAACGCUGAAGCGAAAUCAAUGAAAUGCGAAGGAUAAAAAAAAAAAGAGGAAAAAAUAACAAGGGAAAAAGGAGAAAAAAUCGUGUGUGUGUGUGUGUGUGUGUGUGUGUGUGUGUGUGUGUGUGUGUGUAAAUGAGUAAGUGUGUUUGUUUGUGUUUGUUUGUUAGUGAAUGUAAGAGAUAGAUAGAUAGAUAGAUAGAUAGAUAGAUAGAUAGAUAAAUAGAUAAAUACAAAGAUAGACAUGGAUAGAUAGACAGAGAAAGGGAGAGAGUAUAUGUAUGUGUGUGUGUGUGUGUGUGUGUGUGUGUGUGUGUGUGUGUGUGUGUGUGUGUGUGUGUGUGUGUGUGUGUGUGUGUGUAAGUGCGUGCGUGUGUGUGUGUGUCCACCAAAAAAGAGUAAAUUCAGCAUCUCAACUACCGGUAACUUUUUCUCGUCCGGCCACAAACUGGUCCCCAACGAGACUUGACUUCCUCGCGUGUUGAUGUGAAUUACCUCCCGGAAUUCACUUAGGAGAGGAAAAAAAAGAGGGGGACAAAAAUGGAGACAGAGAAGUUAAAGUAAAAAAGAAGGAAAGUUGCGUUAAGUGAAGGUCAAGCGGUCUGCAGGGUGCGAAAAAUGUUUAACGAAGCGAAAUGAACACACAUACCGUAGUGCUGGUGGUCCUGAGCCGAACACGAGGAGAAAAGGCGCCGAGUCGUUGGUUCUGAAGUAAAAAAGUAGAGAGAAAGUGUCAAGCUUGUGAAAGAAGUUAAGUGAACGAGAAGAUAUAUUGGUUAAGUUUCCAAUACUACUACUACGACUACGACUACGACUACGCCUACUGCUGCUACUACUACUACUACUACUAACCGAACUCAGCAACCAAUACGAUCACAAAUACAGUCAAUACAACACCCAUUACUACUACUACUACUACUACUACUACUACUACUACUACUACUACUACUAUUACUACUACUACUACUGCUACUACUACUACAAACCGAACUCAGCAACCAAUACCAUCACAAAUACAGCCAAUACAACACCAUUACUACUACUACUACUACUACUACUACUACUACUACUACAACAUAUAUUACUACACUAUUCUUAUCAUUUGUUACUCUCAACCACACUACGAUUUAUAGAUGAAAUAUAGCCAUGUAUAUUUAUGACCACGUACACAUACACACACAUAUAUAUCAAUACGUUCAUAAAUUACGUACACACAUGAGAAACGUACACAUGUAUCCAAGUUUCGUUCUCGUGUACGUAUGAAGUGCCUUGUAUGUAUAUAAAUAUGUAUUCCGUGUGUACAAAAAAAAAUGAUGUGUGUGUACAUUAAAUAAAAUAAAUGUGUAUGUCUUUUAAAGUUGCACACACACACACACACACACACACACACAUACACAACAAGGCAAACAAAUCUCUUUUGAAAUGGUGGAUUAUAAAUAUGCUUGUGUGUGUGUGUGUGUGUGUGUGUGUGUGUGUGUGUGUGUGUGUGUGUGUGUGUGUGUCCAGUCUACGUAUACUUAAAUAACGUUCUUGUGUAUAGCGAACGCGACGAACGAGGGAAAAACGAAAGCCGGAUAGGAAAAAGAAUAUUAGAUAAGGGGAGGGAUGAAAAAUGAAAGAAAGAAAAACAAAAGAAAGAAAAACAAAAGGAAGAAAAACAAAAUGCAGAAGGGAACGAAAAAUAUUGAAAACUGAGAGACUGAAAACAUCGAAUUACAAACACGUCAACAAAACAAUAAAAACGAAACAGAGGAGGAGCGAAACAUGAUAACAAAAACAGGAAAUACAAGAAAUAAUAAAAAAAAUAAACUAGAUGGGAGAACACAAUAAAGGUAAAACAGGGAAGAAAGAAAGGAAGGAAAUCAUGAUAUACCAAAAAAAUAUAAAAAAACACUGAGAAAAUAAAAAAAAAGGAAAAAAAUGAUAGUGAAAAGACAAAAGGAUGAAAAUAAACUAGAGAAAGAAAAUAUAGGAAAAGAAUGAAAGAAAGAAAUGGAAAAAAUCAUGAUAUACAAAAAAAAAGCUAAAAAAAUGAAAAUAAGGUCAAAAUAUGUUAGGGAAAAGACAUGAAUAAAAAAUAAACUAGAAAAAAAGAAGAAAAUAAAAGACUGAUAUGAAAAAAAGAAAUAGAAAAGCUAGAAAAAUGAAAAUAAGGUAAAUAAAUGUUAGUGAAAGAGAAGCGAAGAAAUAUAAACUAGAAAAAAAGAAGAAAAUAAAGGAGAGAUAUGAGAAAAAGAAUUGGAAAAGCUCAUGAAGUACAGAAAAAAUAAUGAGAAAGCUAGUUAAGAAAAAUAAGGAAAAGAUGCGAGUGAAAAGACGAAGAAAUAAAGAUCAACAAAGAAAAAAAAGGAGAAAAUAGAGAAAAAUACGGAUAUGUGAAAUGGGGACAAAAUUGAAAUAGCAAAAAUGGAUAAAUAAAACCAAAUAGGAAAAAGAAAAGAACAGAGGAAAAAAUAGGGAAAAUACGAGAAAAAUUAAAUGGGGAAAAAUUAAAUACCCCCAAAAAUAAAAAAAAUAAAAAUAAAGACAAAUAGAAAAAAAAGUGAAAAUAAUAUCAAUGAAAAAGACAGACGAAAAAAAAAAUAUAGAAAAUACGAAAAAGCGAAAUGGGGGAAGAAAACUUAAAUACGAAAAAAAAAAAAUAAUAAAACCAGAUGGAAAAAAAAGAAAAAAAGUAAAAAGAAUAUCAGUGAAAAAACAAAAAAAAAGAACAAACUAGUGAAAACACGGAAAAAUAAAAUGGGAAAAAACUUAAAUACCAAAAAAUACAAAAAAAAAGAUUAAAAGUAAAAACAAUAUCAGUGAAAACAAAAAAAAGAACAAAAUAGUGAAAACACGGAAAAAUAAAAUGGGAAAAAACUUAAAUACCAAAAAAUACACAAAAAAAAAGAUUAAAAGUGAAAACAAUAUCAGUGAAAAAGACAAAACGAAUCAACGGAUGAAGAGUCAAUGGGAAACCUGAACCCGACGGUGUAAACCCAACUCUCGCGGCCAAGCGUACCCAGACACAGUAUUAAUUAAACCCGGGCAACAACAACAACAAUAACAACAAAAACAACAACCUGUACAUACAAAAGAGCUGUUUGCUGUAUUAUUCAUUUUGUAUCAUAAAUAAAACAUGUAAUAAAAGAA